UGGAAUGGGUAUGGGGGUGCAUAAUUAACAAAAAUUGAAUUGUGGGUUCAUUAGUACCCUAGGUUGCAAUUCUUUUGACCAUGUUGUGGCGCAUUCAACUACAGCAAGCAUCUGGGAAUGCCAAGCCCAUAGGUUCGAACCACUCAUCAUGGUUAAUGUGAUUUGUUCAUUAAAUUUAUUAUAUUUUCAAAUAGGCCAGAGAGACGGAAAUAACAGUUUCAAAUGAGAUCGACAAACUUGAUGUUCAAAAGUCAUUGAUUCAAGAAUGGCGAUCUGACCUACAAAUGAUUUGUAAGGAGUUAGAGUUAAACACUGGAACAACCUCGAAGAACAUAAAAUAUUCUAUCGAGGCAGUUGCAGACUCUAUCAGGCAUCGCAAAAAUCUGAUUGCCACUGAUGCAGAAAUGAGUGUGAUAGGAAAAAGCUUCAAGGCUUCAUAAAAAUCUACAAUAGUGAAAACUCUGAAAUUCUCAGUGAAAAGGAUGCAAUAGAAGGUAUCCUGCCAUGGCACAAUUUAUUGCCUCAUCAUAGCCAAAAUGUGUCCCUUGCUCAAAAAAAGAAGGCAGUAGAAGAUGUGGAGCUUCAGAAGAGAUCCAGAGAAGAGCAACAACACACUGUUCAAGAAAUGCUGCAUUAUCUCGCAUAUUACAAGAAUAAGAGAGAGAUUUUAACCGAACAUACUGAAGAGUUGUUAUGUGGAAUUUUUCCUUCAUAUCUAAGCAAGGAUCCUAACAAGUACACUAUUGAAGAGAAGCACCUAUCAACCAAAAA
rnacentral:misc_RNA from 1 species